rnacentral:lncRNA from 1 species
AUGCAAUUCAGGCCAGAUCACAAGGAAACACAACCUUCUCUUCUUCUCCUGUAAAACUCCAAUCCUGCUUUGUUCGGGGGGGAGUUACCUGGUUUUCAGGUUCUCUCUCAUAUGUGUCAACUAAUAAAUACUGUCCUUUAUUUGAAUCACUUAAACUAUUUGCUUACUUGAUUUCAUGUCUUGGGGUUUGAAAAAAAAAAUGUACUUGGGAAUAGAAUGCCUUGUUUUUGCCAGAACACAAAAAUGUCAUCAGGAAACCCCUACCUGUUGCUUAUAAAAGCAUGUAUAAAAGCUACAGCAAUCUCAUCAUCAAAACCCCUCAAAUCAGGUGCCACUUAAUAAAAUGUACUAAAAGAUAGCUGUAAAAUAAAAAAUUGUCAUUGACUGGAUAGUAUAUGCUUAUUUUUUAUUAAUUGUAAUGCAUUUGGGAUAGUUGAUACAGGUGGCAAAUGUAGUUUCUAUGAAGUAUAUCUUGAAUUUUUAUCUAUGUAGGCAGAAAUGGGUACAUUUUGGGAAUUGUGAGUAAACAAAAUAUUUCUGGGAGAAGAAAGGAUUUUAUUAAGAAUAGGAAGGACUGAGGGAACCUGGUGCUCAUACACAAUAGACACGUGGAGAAAGAAUUCCAGAGAGUGCAUCAAGAUGAUGGACCAAUCAGAGGACCCAAGGGGAAAGCAGACUGCACAUGCUAGAUUCACAUCUCAUGAAUUACAAAAACCCUGGAUAAGGCUUCUCAUCAUAAGAAGAUGUGAACAAAACAUACUCAAAUUUCCAAAAAUGUUAAGAGACUCUAUCAAAAUUAUGAAUGAACUUGGGAAGAUAAUGGGUUUUGCACUGUAGCCCAGGUACAAAAAAGCCAGUUUUUUCUUUUGGCAGGGAAGGGCUGGGAAGGUUGUUAAAGAGAUGAGCUUGAAAAGUUCCAUUUGCAAGUGAGAGAUGAUUGUAAAGAGAAGGACCUGUGUGCUCUCAUCUAGGUUGGAAAGAGCUCAGACACAACCAGAUCUUGUGCCAUGACCAAAAAUCGGUUAUUUAUACUCCAAAAUCCAUCAUCUUACAUCUUUGUGAGAUUAUAUAUUCUUUUUGAGUGUGGUAAGAUUGCUAUAACCCUGGGAGGUAUAAUAUAAACAUAAUAAAAAGUGAAGAAAUAAAUCAAUAUCAUAAUAUCACUUUUGUAUUAGGGUAAGAACUAUAAAAAUAAAUUUUGAAACCAUUAUAAUACCCUGUAAUGCCUGUUUCCAAGGUGACUUAAUCAGUUAAAAAUUUCUCAAAUUAAAUUUGAUUUUAUUGAAAAGUUUUGUAGAAUUUGAUUAAUUACAUUUAGAAUCAAGAUUUAAAUACUUAAGAGAAUUCACGCAAUGUGUACAUGUUUAUAUGUUGGUGAUGUUUAAGGGUUUAGAAACACUGUAACAAAUAGAUUUGUAGAUUUUAACAAACUGAAUGUUAAAUAGUGAAGCCAGAAGUAGAAGUAUGCUUCAUGUUCAGGUUUGAAAGGUUCAUAAAACAAAAGCUGACGUUCAACACCGCAAAAUAUAUACUGAAGGGAUAACAUGAAGAAGUCUCCUUGUAGUGGUGGGACAAUCUGUAUCCGGAUUAUGCUGAUAGUUAUGUGGAUCCACAUACUUAAAAUUUCAUAGUGCUAUAAACUCCUCCAAAAUAAAUGAUUUAAGAUGAGAGUGUGUAAAACAUGAUGCAAUUCAAAUUCGGUCUGUACCUAAGUUAAUUUUACGAUAUAGACGUCAAUGUUCUGGUUUUGACACAUUCUAUGUAUUACGUAAGAUAUUAUCAUUGGAGGAAGCUGGGUGAUGGGUACGUGGAAAUUCUCCAUACUAUUUUCGAGAUUUAUUGAGAAUAUUAAGCUAUUUCAAACCAAAACUCUUUUUAAGAAUAUAUAUGUAGAUAUUAGUUAUUGUAAAAAGAAUAGGCAUAGGCCACCUUAGUGCUGCAGACAGGUGGGUCAGCAGAGCCUGUAUCAGCUUCCCACUGUCCCUUUGCCUCAACUGGAUGUUCUGCCUGUGAACUCAGGUAUUGGUAUGACAGGAGGUAGAUCUUGAUGAGUCUGCCAUGGCAGCUUAUUGUUUCUUAUUAUCAUUAAUAUUCUUGUAGGAUUAAAUGCAACAGGAAACAGCUAUGAGCCUCAGCACUACAAAAACAAUCAUACACAAUCUUUCUUCCCACUAGAUGAUGCCUCCCUGAAAAUUAAUCUUCAGGCAUCCCUUUAGAUCAUUUCUGCCCGCACAAAAGGUUUUUGGAUGUUAAAGAUGCCACUCUCCCAUUUAAAAACCACCUAGUUGGAGCUCCCGUCGUGGCUCAAUGGAAACGAAUCGGACUACCAUCCAUGAGGAUGCAGAUUCGACCCCUGGCCUUGCUCAGUGGGUUAAGGAUCUGGUGCUGCCGUGAGCUGUGGUCUAGGUCGAAGAUGCAACUCGGAUUUGAAGUUGCCGUGGUGUAGGCCAGUGGCUACAGCUCUGAUUCGACCCCUAGCCUGGGAACCAUAAGCUGUGGGAGCGCUCCUAUUGUUGGUGCUUAUUCUGAGAAGUACAAAUAAGGGUGAUCAGACUUAUACUGUACUUAUAUUUCAGGGCAAUUUGAUAUUCUUAAAUCAAGCAUAAGCUAAUUUUGCAACUAAGUUUAGGAAAACAUACAUCCGCAAACACACAUUUAUGCCUGGAACAACAGAUCACUACAAAGGUCUUGAUAGCUUUAACAUUCUAUGAUCCUAGACUUUCCAAAUUGUUCUCACCAGAUUAAGGAAGGGCACAUGGCACAGUUUAGCUCUAAAUGGUAAGGUAUCAAGGGAGAAUCAAUGGAUUCCAUUUUGCAAUUAUGAAUACACAAAUUAACACAUGCACCUGUGUUCUCACCCUAAUUCCUAUAAAGGAUGGGUCAAGGACAUCAAUUACCUCUAAACACCAGUUAUGCUGGGAGAAAACAGAGGCAAUAGCAUUUCGGAAGGUGGAGGUGUGUAUUGAGGGAGUGGGAUGGCUCUUUGCAGAUUGAUUCUUUCCUUUUCCAUCUGGUCUCUAUGUAUGGAGAAGCAGAAUCUGUGCCCCCAUAUCUUGGCCUUCACUUUGAGCAUUAUCACUGUUAUGUGUGAGUGAGCUGAGGUAGGAAGGGAUCAUUAAAUUUUUGGUAUGCCCUUUCCUUUUCCAUAAAGUAUUUAGGCAUCCCACAAAAAUACAAAAGAUAUAUCAAGACAAGUCUAAAGCAGAAGACAAAGAAAGGGCCAAAGAGGCGUGAAUGUGAAAUGGAAGCAGAAGUGAGGGCUAAAUAAAACCAUGCCUUUCAGAGACCUACCCUCUUUGCAAAUGGGGUGCAAACAUUGGCUGGAACCUUUCACAGUUCUAGUAUAUAAAGGGAAACUGAAUCAAUGACACUUAUUGCAAUACUUCUAACAUAAGAUAAAUCAAAUCAAUUGCUUUGUCAAUUGACAGCCAUUCCCCAUAGCAAAGUAGAAAGGUUUUCUGAAAGUUUCUAUAAAGAAGAUGUUAUUCUUAAUCUCCUUGCGGUGAUGUUUAACUUCAUUUCUUUUAAUAUAGGGCAAUGGCAUAAGUCCAGGAUGCAAUUAGGUUGAAACAAUUAUCUGGUGAUGGGAGAGAUGGUGGAGUGUGAAGUGGGGGUGGAGGCUGUGAAUGACACUUUAAUAUAAAUAUAUGUGCCUUUAGCAUAAUCAUAUACAUUUUCUUCAGUCAUUCCAAGAUGAAAAUUGGCAAGCAUACUUUUUUUUUUCUGUACCAAAUUAGAAUCUGCCCCAGGACUAAGGGAAACAGAGCUGGGAGACUGAUCGUUAAAAGCCAGUAAAAGUCAUUAUUUCUGCCUCACUGGUCAGACAUAUUUUGGGCAAAUGAGUCAGCAUGAGAGGGAUGUUGGGGCUAGACUUUAUCAGAAGUUACAUAAAUUUUUCCAGAGUGACUAAAGCUGUUCUGGCUAGUUAUUUAAAGCUUUGGGGAGGAGAAGGACUGAGGAGGUGGGGAGGAACUGAACUUACUUUGUGACUGGGGCAGCUUUGAUUGGGCAACUUCUCUGUUCUAGCUUUCUGUGAAAUGCCCCCUUUCCGGGGUUUAAUAUCACUGUCUUAAGUAUAAGUUGCUCAAGUUGGCCAAAACCCACGAAUUCCCAACUCUAGAAUAUCUGACAAAGGUUCCAGCCUGUGAAUGCAUUCUUCCAUGUCAGAUCAGUUGUUCAGUGCAUUUGCUGGCCCUUAGAGGUAAGCUAUCUCAGUGACUCAUUUUGAUUCUUCAGGCAAUAACUAAGUACAUGCUAUGUACUCGAUAUGUAUGCGGUUCUUAAGGAGAUGACUGAGAUCAAAACGUAUGUUCUGUCCUCAAGAAGCUCAUGAUAAAGUGGCAAAGACAGGCCUGAAGAUAAUGCUAAGAGUGCCAAGAAUGUGAUCAUAACAGAACCAGUGCAUGGUUUCUGGAGCCAGAAGAGAAGAGAAUGGACUUUUAGGAAAGGCUUUCAUGUGUCUCUUUUGUUGAGGCAUCUACCAUGUAGCAAUGCUCAAAAUUUAGCACACAGCUAGACGGAUGAAUUAAGAGGAGUAGUGUUAACUGGACAAGAAAGACUGAGGUAUGAAGAGCUGGGAAUGCGUAGAAAAGACGUCCAAGGUCAGAAAGCUACAUGGAGGCAUGAAAAAGUACAGUGAGUAAUAGAGUUGGAUGAAUUUAGAUAAAGAAUAGCCUGGAACAUUGUUGACACCCAGAUAAACCUGUUAGUUUUAAAAGGAACACUCUCCUGUACUUUAGUAUUCUAAAGAGCGAGUUUUAGAGCACAUAGAAACCCUUGGAGAUGAAGGCAGACAAACACUGUUCUAAGAUUAAGCUUGGCUAAUCUAAGUCAUGUACUAUUGGGAUGUGAAUGAUAUGGCAUAAAGCCAGGAUUUUCUAAGGAAGACGCAAUUAUACCUGCUAGGUCUCCCUUCUCACUGCUGCCUACCUUCUACAGUAGGCACAGCCCUUGGGGAAUAAAGGUAAUAUGCUCUAUGAGCAGAGGGUUGGUACACUAAAUGGGGAUAACUGAGGAGAGCUUAAUGAAGAGAGUAUAAAAUUGUGGGUAGGGUUAGAGGAAACCAGCAAAGGAUGGUGAGGGUGUGUGGGUCUUAAGACCAUUUGGAAGCCAUUACUGCUCUUAGGACCAAACAGGCAAGGGAAUGGAGUGGUUGUCAAAACCCAGAAGGAGCUGUGGCUCUGGGUGAAGGAAGGAGCAGGUCACCAACAGGAACUGUGGCCUCCUAUGGAGGAACGCACCCCCUGCCCACCUGUGACCAAGGAGGGAGCUGAGGAAUGAACCCCCCAGGCCUCUCUCCUCUCAGUUUCCUUGUGGUCCUUCCUCACGUGCAAAAGUCUUCCCCAACCGGAAGCCAGAGUGCAAAGAUGCCUGUGGCACAGUCCCUAGUGGUCAGCCUCCUGGCAGAGCAGGCAGAGAAACAUGGAGAAGGACUAUGGAGAAGAACUCAGAGCCAAUUCAGCCCACACGGAGAAGACUGAAGCUCAUCUUCCUCAGAGGAUCUCAGGGGACCCACAUGACACCUGUGAUUAUCAUGGCAUGGCGAGGAAGAAAUACAGACACCUCUGCAGAUUUAAAGGGUCCAACUCUCCCAUAUUUCAAUAGGCUGGGCUUUCCAUGAUACAGAAUUAUCUGCAAGCUCCAGCUAACUCAUUCUCCACUCUAAGCACUCCUAUCUCAAAGGGGUCAGGGCUAUCAUUACUUUCUCAAAUGUUGGUGA